UACGGAGGGGACUAGCGUUGUUCGGAAUUACUGGGCGUAAAGCGCACGUAGGCGGAUUUGUAAGUCAGGGGUGAAAUCCCGGGGCUCAACCUCGGAACUGCCUUCGAUACUGCGGGUCUCGAGUCCGGGGAGAGGUGAGUGGAAUUCCUAGUGUAGAGGUGAAAAUUCGUAGAUAUUCGGAAGAACACCGGUGGCGAAGGCGGCGCUCUGGACCGAGACUGACGCUAGGCGCGAAAAGCGUGGGGGAGCAAACAGGGAUUAAGAAAACCCCUAGAA
rnacentral:rRNA from 1 species